GAUCAUGGCUCAGGAUGAACGCUAGCGGCAGGCUUAACACAUGCAAGUCGAGGGGCAGCAUGAAGGUUAGCAAUAACUUUUGAUGGCGACCGGCGCAAGGGUGCGUAACGCGUGAGCAACUUGCCCGUUUCAGGGGGAUAACCGGUGGAAACGCCGACUAAUACCCCAUAGUAUUGGUUUGAGGCAUCUCUUACCAAUUAAAGAAUUUCGGAAACGGAUAGGCUCGCGUGACAUUAGCUAGAUGGCGGGGUAACGGCCCACCAUGGCGACGAUGUCUAGGGGUUCUGAGAGGAAGGUCCCCCACACUGGAACUGAGACACGGUCCAGACUCCUACGGGAGGCAGCAGUGAGGAAUAUUGGUCAAUGGUCGAGAGACUGAACCAGCCAUGCCGCGUGAAGGUCACGGCCCUAUGGGUCUUAAACUUCUUUUGUAAGGGAGCAAUAAGUCUCACGUGUGGGAUGAUGAGAGUACCUUACGAAUAAGCAUCGGCUAACUCCGUG
rnacentral:rRNA from 1 species